rnacentral:sRNA from 1 species
CUUUUCGCGGUCGGCCGCGUGGCUGGAAGUCAUGGCUGCUCCCGUUGGUGUUGAGCACGGCGAGCAGCCUCAGGCCUUUAGUGAUGAUGGUAAGGCUGCCUGAGUGGGAAAACGGGGUCUGCCUUGACACGACACUAACACACUUGGCUUCCCUUCCUCAGAGACGAAGUGGUGACGAUAAGCUCGGUUUCUCCCUCAUAGGGUGGUUAGGAGGGUUAAAAGUACUGGAUGAGAAAAUGCUUUCCAAACGGCGAGAAAAUGUUAUUAUGUGAAGGGAGAGAGCUCAAGCCCGUCCUCGGCGUCAUAGGGCGGCUUCUGCGGGGGAGAGCGCCUAACAACCUGGGCAGCCCAGUGCGCCUCCACCGCGCGUGUGCUGAGCGUGCAUGCCCAGGGGUCUUCGGUGCCCGCGCACGGGCAAACUGACGAUGGUGGUUCUUAAUUCAGCAUCACGAGUGUUAACGUGUGAAGACGUGAUUCCACUUGGAGUGCCUUGAGGAUGGCCCCAAUCGGUAGUUUAUAUUUAACUUUACAGAUAGGAGUCAAUAGGAUUGUAAACGUCUGGAAAACCGUAGUUUUAACAACGAGCCUUUUUUCCUUCCCCAGAGGCCUUUCUUUGUUUGGCGUCUGCGGAGACGGUGAAAAGCAGAGCUCCAGGUUGAAGGAUGAGAGUAACGGAUGGAGCCCUAACAUGAGUAAGUGGGUGCAGGCAGGGCCUGAGUGGUCACUAGAAAUGAGACAGCACAGUUGGUCCCAUCACAUACAUUCACCUCCUGCUUUAUUCUGAAGUUCAAGUGUGAGAAUACGUGUUGACAUACAACCCAGCUAUGGUAAGAAAUUACUGAGAAUUCAGAAUGUUAAUUAUUUUAAUGAUAAAAAUGGUCUUUGCCCGUGUAAUUUGGGGCCACUAGGUGUCAUUGUAACCAACGUGGAUCCUCAUUAGGGCAUGCAGGGAUGAAAGAGACGUGGCAAAUGAAUUUUGGAUCGCUGGGAUUUAGGAAUCUUUGUUAUUGGCUGAGCUGAGGAUGAUUUAAAGUUAUCCCUGUCUGAAAUGGUAUCUUUUGUGAGGAGGUCUGACUUCCUGAGGCUCAGCUGUUUAAUACACAUCUGGAGAAUAAACCUUAAGGUGGUUUGUGUUAGAAUGAAGCCUGUUAUCCUUCUCUUUUAGAUUAAAGGUGUUGGCUGUGGCCUUGAAAACAGUCAUAUGAAAACUCAUCACCUUAAGGUGUUAAGUGUAAGGAUCUUCAUGAUGAAGGUUCUGUAAAUGGUGAGAUUUUUAGUUCUUUCAUAGACUUGAAUAUGCUUAUGGUCCCCUUUAAGUAUUGGUUGGUUGGUUUUGGGGAUGUGUUGGUCUUCCAGGGUUAUGAUUGCCCAGAUAAUGAAAGUAGUAUGGAAUUCCUUUUGAUAGGGUCCUUGCCAAACACUCUCACAAAGAGUAUUUUUUGUUUGUUUGUUUUGAGACAGAGUUUUGCUCUUGUUGUCCAGGCUGGAGUGCGAUGGUGCGAUCUUGGCUCAGCGCAACCUCUGCCUCCCGGGUUCAAGGUAGUCUCCUGCCUCAGCCUCCCAAGUAGCUGGGAUUACAGGCAUGCACCACCACGCCUAGCUAAUUUUGUAUUUUUAGUAGAUACGGGGUUUCUCCAUGUUGGUCAGGCUGGUCUUGAACUCCCGACCUCAGGUGAUCCGCCCGCCUCAGCCUCGCAGAGUGCUGGGAUUACAGGCGUGAGCCACUGCGCCCGGCCAUAAAUAGUAUUUCUAAUAUCAACCCCAUAUGAGGUAAGUUUUUUUCCCCACUCUGCUGCUGAGUAAGUAAAAUGAGGCAUAGAGAGUUCUCUUGCCCAAAGUUAUACAAGCAGUUACUGAGUUUGACUGGCGGUUCUGAACUGGGGAGGGAUGGUGGUCCUGGCAUCUGGUGAAUGCUACUAUUAAUAAAUACCCUGGCCUGGCCUGGAUAUUUAUCUCAUGCCUGUAAUCCCAGCACUUUGGGAGGCCAAAGCAGGUGGAUAACCUGAGGUCAGGAGUUCGAGUUCGAGACCAGCCUGGCCAACAUAGUGAAACCUUGUCUCUACUAAAAAUACAAAAAUUAGCUGGGUGUGGUGGUGGGCAGCCUGUAAUCCCAGCUACUUGGGAGACUAAGGCAGGAGAAUCUCUUGAACCCAGGAGGCAGAGGUUGCAGUGAGCUGAGAUCGCACCAUUGUACUCCAGUCUAGGCGACGAGCAAAACUCUGUAAAUAAAUAAAUAAAUAAAUAAAUAAAUAUCCUACAAUGCACACGACAGCCUGCAUGAGGAAUAAUUGAUCCACCCAGUAUGUCAGUAGAGCUGAGGUUGAGAAACUCCUGUAUACCACACAUUAGGCUAACUAGAGAUCUGAGCUCUAGUCUCAGCCUAUUUUCUCACCAGAGUCUUGUUUCUUCAUUUGUGAAACAGGGUUAGUGAUUUCCAAACUUGAUUAUUACAUCAGAGCCACCUACAAAGUGUUAAAAUAUACACAUUCUUGGGCCUCACCUCCAGGCAUGGGUGAGAAUGGCUCUGGAGUGGAGUCCAGGAAUCAUGUGGCCAGUCCAAGAGCAAAUGGGUAGUAACUAGAUCAGAGGUGUCAAUCUUUUGGCUUCCCUGUGCCACAUUGGAAGAAGAAUUGUCUUGGGCCACACAUAAAAUACACUAACACUAAUGAUAGCCGAUGAGCU